GUGCUACACAUGCAGUCGAGCGAGACGAUGAUCGCGGUAGACUUGCUCCCUGAUGUUAGCGGCGGACGGGUGAGUAACACGUGGGUAACCUGCCUGUAAGACUGGGAUAACUCCGGGAAACCGGGGCUAAUACCGGAUGGUUGUUUGAACCGCAUGGUUCAGACAUAAAAGGUGGCUUCGGCUACCACUUACAGAUGGACCCGCGGCGCAUUAGCUAGUUGGUGAGGUAACGGCUCACCAAGGCGACGAUGCGUAGCCGACCUGAGAGGGUGAUCGGCCACACUGGGACUGAGACACGGCCCAGACUCCUACGGGAGGCAGCAGUAGGGAAUCUUCCGCAAUGGACGAAAGUCUGACGGAGCAACGCCGCGUGAGUGAUGAAGGUUUUCGGAUCGUAAAGCUCUGUUGUUAGGGAAGAACAAGUGCCGUUCAAAUAGGGCGGCACCUUGACGGUACCUAACCAGAAAGCCACGGCUAACUACGUGCCAGCAGCCGCGGUAAUACGUAGGUGGCAAGCGUUGUCCGGGAAUUAUUGGGCGUAAAGGGCUCGCAGGCGGUUUCUUAAGUCUGAUGUGAAAGCCCCCGGCUCAACCGGGGAGGGUCAUUGGAAACUGGGGAACUUGAGUGCAGAAGAGGAGAGUGGAAUUCCACGUGUAGCGGUGAAAUGCGUAGAGAUGUGGAGGAACACCAGUGGCGAAGGCGACUCUCUGGUCUGUAACUGACGCUGAGGAGCGAAAGCGUGGGGAGCGAACAGGAUUAGAUACCCUGGUAGUCCACGCCGUAAACGAUGAGUGCUAAGUGUUAGGGGGUUUCCGCCCCUUAGUGCUGCAGCUAACGCAUUAAGCACUCCGCCCCGCGGAGUAGGGGCCAGGAGUGUUACUCCAAA
rnacentral:rRNA from 1 species